rnacentral:rRNA from 1 species
GACGAACGCUGGCGGCGUGCUUAACACAUGCAAGUCGAACGGAAAGGCCCUGCUUUUGUGGGGUGCUCGAGUGGCGAACGGGUGAGUAACACGUGAGUAACCUGCCCUUGACUUUGGGAUAACUUCAGGAAACUGGGGCUAAUACCGGAUAGGAGCUCCUGCUGCAUGGUGGGGGUUGGAAAGUUUCGGCGGUUGGGGAUGGACUCGCGGCUUAUCAGCUUGUUGGUGGGGUAGUGGCUUACCAAGGCUUUGACGGGUAGCCGGCCUGAGAGGGUGACCGGCCACAUUGGGACUGAGAUACGGCCCAGACUCCUACGGGAGGCAGCAGUGGGGAAUAUUGCACAAUGGCGGAAGCCUGAUGCAGCAACGCCGCGUGCGGGAUGACGGCCUUCGGGUUGUAAACCGCUUUCGCCUGUGACGAAGCGUGAGUGACGGUAAUGGGUAAAGAAGCACCGGCGAACUACGU